rnacentral:tRNA from 1 species
GUUGGGAAUAUAGCUCAGUGGUACAGCACUUACCUAGCGUGCCUGAGGCCCUGGGUUCAAUUCCCAGUGCCAACA